AAAGGAUCCUAAAGUUGGAAUUAUCAGGGCAGAUGAGGCAGUGAUCCAUCUUCUCUAAUUUGGUUCCUUCUCAUUUGUGCUGAAGAAGUGGAGAAGGGAAAGGCAGCAUCCAGCUGGAAGAGGAUGAUGGACUGUUCUCCAGAGACUGCUGAUCAGAGGAGUUGCCGGACCUGCCCUGCGCCCACUACCCCGAGGAACCCAUGGUGCUGGACCUCCCCAGAGGACAACACCCUGACCCAGG